rnacentral:rRNA from 1 species
UACGGAGGGUGCGAGCGUUGUCCGGAAUCAUUGGGCGUAAAGGGCGCCUAGGCGGUUGGAUAAGUCCGCUGUGAAAGACCGAGGCUCAACCUCGGGGUGUCAGCGGAGACUGUUCGACUGGAGUGUCGGAGAGGAGUGCGGAAUUCCUGGUGUAGCGGUGGAAUGCGUAGAGAUCAGGAGGAACACCGAUGGCGAAGGCAGCACUCUGGCCGAAGACUGACGCUGAAGCGCGAAAGCUGGGGGAGCGAACGGG